GAUGAACGCUGGCGGCGUGCCUAAUACAUGCAAGUCGAGCGAACAGACGAGGAGCUUGCUCCUCUGACGUUAGCGGCGGACGGGUGAGUAACACGUGGAUAACCUACCUAUAAGACUGGGAUAACUUCGGGAAACCGGAGCUAAUACCGGAUAACAUGUUGAACCGCAUGGUUCAACAGUGAAAGACGGUCUUGCUGUCACUUAUAGAUGGAUCCGCGCCGCAUUAGCUAGUUGGUAAGGUAACGGCUUACCAAGGCAACGAUGCGUAGCCGACCUGAGAGGGUGAUCGGCCACACUGGAACUGAGACACGGUCCAGACUCCUACGGGAGGCAGCAGUAGGGAAUCUUCCGCAAUGGGCGAAAGCCUGACGGAGCAACGCCGCGUGAGUGAAGAAGGUCUUCGGAUCGUAAAUCUCUGUUAUUAGGGAAGAACAAAUGUGUAAGUAACUAUGCACGUCUUGACGGUACCUAAUCAGAAAGCCACGGCUAACUACGUG
rnacentral:rRNA from 1 species